GCUGGGUGGAUUAGUGGCGAACGGGUGAGUAACACGUGAGUAACCUGCCCCUGACUCUGGGAUAAGCGUUGGAAACGACGUCUAAUACUGGAUAUGAUCACUGGCCGCAUGGUCUGGUGGUGGAAAGAUUUUUUGGUUGGGGAUGGACUCGCGGCCUAUCAGCUUGUUGGUGAGGUAAUGGCUCACCAAGGCGACGACGGGUAGCCGGCCUGAGAGGGUGACCGGCCACACUGGGACUGAGACACGGCCCAGACUCCUACGGGAGGCAGCAGUGGGGAAUAUUGCACAAUGGGCGCAAGCCUGAUGCAGCAACGCCGCGUGAGGGAUGACGGCCUUCGGGUUGUAAACCUCUUUUAGUAGGGAAGAAGCGAAAGUGACGGUACCUGCAGAAAAAGCACCCGGCUAACUACGUGCCAGCAGCCGCGGUAAAUACGUAGGGUGCAAGCGUUGUCCUGGAAUUAUUGGGCGUAAAGAGCUCGUAGGCGGUUUGUCGCGUCUGCUGUGAAAUCCCCGAGGCUCAACCUCGGGCUUGCAGUGGGUACGGGCAGACUAGAGUGCGGUAGGGGAGAUUGGAAUUCCUGGUGUAGCGGUGGAAUGCGCAGAUAUCAGGAGGAACACCGAUGGCGAAGGCAGAUCUCUGGGCCGUAACUGACGCUGAGGAGCGAAAGCGUGGGGAGCGAACAGGAUUAGAUACCCUGGUAGUCCACGCCGUAAACGUUGGGCGCUAGAUGUAGGGACCUUUCCACGGUUUCUGUGUCGUAGCUAACGCAUUAAGCGCCCCGCCUGGGGAGUACGGCCGCAAGGCUAAAACUCAAAGGAAUUGACGGGGGCCCGCACAAGCGGCGGAGCAUGCGGAUUAAUUCGAUGCAACGCGAAGAACCUUACCAAGGCUUGACAUACACCGGAAACGGCCAGAGAUGGUUGCCCCCUUGUGGUCGGUGUACAGGUGGUGCAUGGUUGUCGUCAGCUCGUGUCGUGAGAUGUUGGGUUAAGUCCCGCAACGAGCGCAACCCUCGUUCUAUGUUGCCAGCGCGUUAUGGCGGGGACUCAUAGGAGACUGCCGGGGUCAACUCGGAGGAAGGUGGGGAUGACGUCAAAUCAUCAUGCCCCUUAUGUCUUGGGCUUCACGCAUGCUACAAUGGCCGGUACAAAGGGCUGCGAUACCGUAAGGUGGAGCGAAUCCCAAAAAGCCGGUCUCAGUUCGGAUUGAGGUCUGCAACUCGACCUCAUGAAGUCGGAGUCGCUAGUAAUCGCAGAUCAGCAACGCUGCGGUGAAUACGUUCCCGGGCCUUUGUACACACCGCCCGUCAAGUCAUGAAAGUCGGUAAUCACCCGAAGUCCGGUGGCUCCAACC
rnacentral:rRNA from 1 species